UGGCGGACGGGUGAGUAAUGUCUGGGAAACUGCCCGAUGGAGGGGGAUAACUACUGGAAACGGUAGCUAAUACCGCAUAACGUCGCAGGACCAAAGAGGGGGACCUUCGGGCCUCUUGCCAUCGGAUGUGCCCAGAUGGGAUUAGCUAGUAGGUGGGGUAACGGCUCACCUAGGCGACGAUCCCUAGCUGGUCUGAGAGGAUGACCAGCCACACUGGAACUGAGACACGGUCCAG
rnacentral:rRNA from 1 species